rnacentral:lncRNA from 1 species
CCUAAGACGGUUCAUCCCAAAUCAAAUACAAGAGGUUCAAGCUAACCCAAAACCAAAGUCCACAAAUAAAUCCCAAAAUCCAAAAUCCACAAAUAAAUCCUAAAACCUAAAGUCCACAAAUAAAAUUCCAAAAUCCAAAGUCCACAAAUAAAAUCCCAAAACCUAAAGUCCAUAAAUAAAGCCCAAAACCUAAAGUCCACAAAUAAAACCCCGAAAUCCAAAGCCUCUCAAAUCUAAACGACCGUAAAGUCGUUAAACUAAUCUCAAAUUCAAACGACCGAAACGUCGUUAAACUAAACCCAAAUCCAAACGACCGAAACGUCGUUAAACUAAACCCAAAUUCAAACGACCGAAACGUCAUUAAACUAAACCCGACGACCGAAAUGUUGUUAAACUAAACCCAAAUCUAAACGACCGAAACGUCGUUAAACUAAACUCAAAUUCAAACGACCGAAACGUCGUUAAACUAAACCCAAAUUCAAAUGACCGAAACGUCGUUAAACUAAACCCAACGACCGAAACGUCGUUAAACUAAGCCCAAAUUCAAACGACCGAAACGUCACUAAACUAAACCCAAAUUCAAACGACCGAAACGUCGCUAAACAAACCCAAACCCAAACGACCGUAAAGUCGUUAAACUAAACCCAAUCCAAAAUAUCUCCAAAUCGACAGAGUUCUAAAUCAUAUACUGAGAAUUCAGUCAAAUGA